rnacentral:lncRNA from 1 species
AGAAAUCAAGUAAAGGUACAUUCAGAUUAUACUGUCUUUUUGGUAUUUUUAAUAGGCUUGAGGAAUUAAAACACUAGCACAGACAAACAUCAAUGACGAAAGGGAAUCAACAAGACAUGAACACAUGUAACCAUCAAACAUAUAACUGUAUGGUAACCGACAGACUACAAAUACACAACAAGAACACUUCAACUAGUGAGAACGCACAAUAGGUGAUACAAUAUUUAUAAGCAUGAAACUGAAUCAUUCACAGACUGCAAGCAUUUAUAAAAUCUGAACAUUACACAAUUCUGAACAGUACACUUCUUAAGUUUAUAGGAAUUUCAGAGAGAGAGAGAGAGAGACAGCAGGUUCAGUUGGAGACGAGCAGCAGCAGUAAGCUUCAGCAGUAGAGAAAGGAGAAGUUCAGAGCAGCAAAGGUAAGGGAAGAAGCAAAGCGAGGGCAGCAACAGAGAAGGGUUGAGCAGCAGCAAAGGAAGAGAGAAAGGAGCAGCAGCUCGGGCGCAAGAAGAGCAGCAGCAGGACGUGGGAAUAAGGACUCGCGUGGAGGUUCAGACGCCCGCGUCCUCGUGCCUGAUGGGACGCGCGAGUGGUGAUGGUGGCGCUGGUGAUGGUGGAUGAUGGCGCGAGGUGGUGAUGCGGCGCUGGUGGAUGGAGAUGGGUGAUGUGGUGUUGGAGGUGGGUGUGCUCGUGGAUGGAUGGGUGGCGGAGGCGCACCACCACGCCGGCCUGGCCGUGGCGGCGGCCGGUGGUGGAGAAGAAGGGGAGAGGGAGAGAGAUGAGAUGUGCCAGGCCCGAAGGGAAUUGAGGCUGCGCUAGGGAUUUUGAUCCCCUCCUCUGUUCUUCCACUUUACAAUUUGGCCCUGCUAUUUCUCUUCUUUCUUCCCAAGUUGGUCCUGCCAUCUAUAGCUUGGCCCCUUGAUUACUUCAAUUCUUCUCGCUCAAGUCCCUUUCUUCACUUCUUUCCUGCCCUUCUCUCUUUUUAACAGCCAAUUUGUCCGAAUCUUAAAGUUUAUAGUGCCUUUGCGCACUUUUCUGCAAAAUAAUCAAAUGACGAGUAAAUGAUCUUUUAUAUGAUUUUCAUUCAAAUAUAUCAUAGUUCAUAACAAGAAUGGAUCGUUGGAUCACAAUAAAUGGUGUGUUUGUGUGCCAAAAUAUGAAUAGGAAAUGCACUUAUCAAGUUCCCCCACACUUAAAUCUUUGCUUGUCCUCAAGUAAAGGCAUUUGACAAGAGCAAGGUAGUGAACAGCGAACUGACUAGAGAAUGUCCCAGUGAAGUAGAUCUCCAAACAAUGCAUGCUUUGAACUUUGCUAGUGAAAAUCAAUGGUUAAGAGUGCUACAAGGCAAUAGGAUACUAGUAGACUCAAUUAUUUUAAGCUUUUACAAUGAUAAAAUUGGAUCAACAAGUUCAAAUGCUGAUUGUGCCAAAGGGUUCCAAAAGAGAGCAUGAUCCCAAAAAAACUCAUUACCCGGAACAUAACAUUAUGGUUGAAGCACUUAUUGAAUUUGAAGGAAGUAAUGAUAAUAUUUUAUCGGUCUCACCAAAGGAACAUACCACCGAUCCCGAGAACAUGGUAUACACCUGGAUCAACCAAUUAUUAGCUUUUUUUGUUUGUCUCCCCAAAGGAACAUACCACCGAUCCAGAGAACAUGGUAUACACCUGGUUUGACAAUUACAAUUUUUAUUAUUAAUUACUGCCCAAGCUAACCCGAUUUCACAUGCCACCGAUCCAGGGAACAUGACAUGCUACUGUAGGUAGUCAGACUUAUUUAUUCAUUAUUACUUAUCUUAAAUGAACAACGCAUAAGCACAAAAACAGGAAUCAUCACUUCUCCAUGUCUGGUUCACAUGCUACCGAUCCAGGGAACAUAGCAUACAAGUACAUAGUGGUAAAGUGAUUGCUCUCAAUGGGAACACAAUAGGCACAAACUCAGCAUUUAACACUUAAUGAUCUGAGUGUAUCAUGGUAAAAGCAGAAAAUGAUUAAGUUUACUAGUGCACUAGGGAUUUGAGCACUCAAAACUAAUAGCUUUCACUAUUUUCAGCAAAGCAAACAGGGUGUAGAUCACUAGUUUACAAGGCAUUCAACAAUCAGUUCGCAUAUUCUCAUCAAGCACCAUAUGUCAAAGGUGAAAUUCAGUGGGACAACAUUUAAGAAAUGGCACAAGCAACCCAAAUAGCAAUUUAAUCCAGCAAGCAUCAAUGGAUGAUGAUUUCAAAAUGGGGCAUGAAACAUCUCACCGGGCUUUGAUGAUGUAGCACUCGCUCGAUCACCUCACCAACUGCAGCUCUUCUCCUUUGCUUCCUCAUGGAUGCUCCAGCUUCACUCUUCUUUGUGUUUGCACCCUUGCUUCUGCUCAUCUCCGUGCUCAGGAUCCACCUGGGUCCCAAGGAAUGUCGCCUCGAACCUGGUCAGCAUGAAGUGAAUGGUGCAGAAGCAACAACCUGAAAAAACACUCCACAAAAGAGACAAUGCAAGCGGUAGGGAUAAUACCCUCCAAGUCAUCAAUCGAGUAACCAAUUACAUAAGCAUAGCUAUAAAGCACAUGUUUAGGAUGGUAGAAAUCAGCAAGGUCAACACUAACAUGAGGAUGAUAUUUAUCAUUAAGCUCAAGACUAGCAUGGGAAUGAUAUGUUUCAUAAAGCAUAGGUCUAGCACGAGGAAAGUAAUUGUGAUCAUCACUAAUGUGAGUAAUGCCACUAACAGGGUAUAUAUGGUCAUAUCCAAGCAAAUACUUUUUCAAAUCUACUUUAACAGAUGGCAUCAUGCAAUGCAAGGUAGUAGCAAACAAUUCAUAUGGGGACAUGCCAUUGAGAGGAUUAGAUAAACCUGCAAUGUCACACUCUUGUAUGAUGAUAGGAAAUUGAAUUUCUGGUUCUUCAUCUUCAACUACAACAGCUUCUUCUACUUCUUCGGGAGUGGUAGACAUUGAAUCUUCAACUUGUUCAUUUGGGUAUUCGAGCUCUGGAUCAUCUUGUGCCUUGGCUUCGAGAAUUUCUUCUUGGAUCUGAAGUAUCUCUUCCUCUAGACUCUCGCUAUCUUGCUCAACUGAAUGUGAAGGUGUUGGGACCUCACAUGUAUCAAGGGGUAUCCCAGAAAUACUCAGCUCUAGCUGUGAAGAAAUAGUGCUACCAGCAUUGAUGUUCUUCUCAAUAUUCCUUACUUCUUCCACAAGCUCUUUUCCAGUCUUGAUCUUCUUCAUUUCCUCUAGUAUAACCUUCCUAAUAGGAUCAUCCUCGGCACUCCAAGUGAACUCGAGACUUAAAAGUGUGAGCUUGUCUAUGUCAUCGAACUCAUCUUGUGUGGGCACUUGCACAUGAGAUUGCACAACAGGUGCUGGAGUUGUUGGUUGACCAAAUGGAGGACCAUUUAACUCCAUCCGCAACAUCUCCUUGUGUUGAGGUAUAUGAGUAGGAGGUGAAUAGCAUUGUUGUGGUGCAUAGUUGUUGCUCUCCUCUUCAUUCCUAAAUCCUUGCAUUGGAUAACUAGAGGCAAAUGAUGAGAUCUCAGGGUUGUUGCUCCUAUAUGACAUAUUCGGGUUUUCGGGCCACCCAUGUGAGUAAUUGUUUUGGUAUGAGCUAUGCUCUUGAGCGAAGCUCAUGCCAAAUCAAUCUGUAGGGUAAGAGUAACCACGCUGACAUUCAGCGGGCGAAUGGCCCUGAAAUCCACAAAUAUGGCAGGUAGGAGCAACAUAAGGAUGGCCUCUAGAAUAAGGAUCAUAAGAGCUAGGCCUAUCCUCAAAAACUACUUCUCGCCGCCGAGCUAAAUCAUCUAAUCGAUGGGAAAUCUUACUUAUCAGUUCUUGAAUACUUUCUGUGUUGUUUGUAGUGUUGCUCGCAUAAGCAUGAUGAUCUGAGUAGAAUGCCAUUUCCAAGAAGACAAUUCAACCUACAAAAUGAACAAGAAAAGAAAGAGAAUAUAACUAGAACAAUGGUUAGGGGUAAGAGAUAUAUCACAAAUAUAUGGCACUAAAUAGAAACAGAAGCAAAACCUAGUCUAUAGCCUAACACGGUCGCACGACGCUAGUCCCCGGCAACGGCGCCAAAAUGAUCAAUUGUAGGUGCGGUGGGAUAUUUCGCCUAAAUCGUGAGUGUCGUGUUCUCCACAGGGACUAGGCGACGGCGACGAUGCUCAGCUAAAUCUAGGUAACACAAUUUUAAGAGAGGAUUGCAAGAAACUAAUAACAUAAACUAUCUAAGACAGUUCCGGAAAACCGUCGACAAGGAAAAAGAAAUCAAGCAAAGGUACAUUCAGAUUAUACUAUCUUUUUGGUAUUUUUAUUAGGCUUGAGGAAUUAAAACACUAACACAGACAAACAUCAAUGACGAAAGGGAAUCAACAAGACAUGAACACAUAUAACCAUCAAACAUAUAACAGUAUGGUAACCGACAGACUACAAAUACACAACAAGAACACUUCAACUAGUGAGAACGCACAAUAGGUGAUACAAUAUUUAUAAGCAUGAAACUGAAUCAUUCACAGAUUGCAAGCAUUUAUAAAAUCUGAACAUUACACAAUUCUGAACAGUACACUUCUUAAGUUUAUAGGAAUUUCAGAGAGAGAGAGAGACAGCAGGUUCAGUUGGAGACGAGCAGCAGCAGUAAGCUUCAGCAGUAGAGAAAGGAGAAGUUCAGAGCAGCAACAAGGUAAGGGAAGAAGCAAAGCGAGGGCAGCAACAGAGAAGGGUUGAGCAGCAGCAAAGGAAGAGAGAAAGGAGCAGCAACUCGGGUGCAAGAAGAGCAGCAGCAGGACGUGGGAAGAAGAAGGACUCAUGGGGAGGUUCAGACGCCCGCGCCCUCGUGUCUGAUGGGACGCGCGAGUGGUGAUGGUGGCGCUGGUGAUGGUGGAUGAUGGCGCGAGGUGGUGAUGCGGCGCUGGUGGAUGGAGAUGGGUGAUGUGGUGUUGGAGGUGGGUGUGCUCGUGGAUGGAUGGGUGGCGGAGGCGCACUACCACGCCGGCCUGGCCGUGGCGGCGGCCGGUGGUGGAGAAGAAGGGGAGAGAGAGAGAGAUGAGAUGUGCCAGGCCCAAAGGGAAUUGAGGCUGCGCUAGGGAUUUUGAUCCCCCUCCUCUGUUCU